GGUCUGGUGGUGUAGUUGGUUAUCACGUCAGUCUAACAGUCCCUUGAGAGCCUCGCCUCUCUCGUCUGGCACACUGAAGGUCUCCGGUUCAAGUCCGGGCUAGAUCA
rnacentral:tRNA from 1 species